rnacentral:lncRNA from 1 species
AGUGCUCCAUUUUUGUUGAAGCAGAGUACUGACUUGAGCGUCGGAGGAUCUUGCCGGAGCACCUCCAACUCCGAUUUAGACUUCUCUUGCAGGUCCCAACGGCUGAUGCGAUCUCCUCGACUCCAGCUUCUCCGAUGUCGGCGGAAUUCUACACCAACAGAAUUGGCGCUAGAGGAAGGGGUGUGUCUUCGCAGUAUUCUUGUUUUUAAAGGAGUGCUCAACGGGACUGUCUCCGAUCAUCUUCUCUGACAUCUUCUUCUUCUUCUCCUGCC